rnacentral:rRNA from 1 species
UACGUAGGGGGCAAGCGUUGUCCGGAAUUAUUGGGCGUAAAGGGUAGGUAGGUGGUCUUGUUUGUCUAGGGUGAAAGCCUCGGGCUCAACCUGAGAAGUGCCUUAGAAACGGCAAGACUAGAGUCCUGGAGAGGGUCGUGGAAUUCCCGGUGUAGCGGUGAAAUGCGUAGAGAUCGGGAGGAACACCAGAGGCGAAGGCGGCGACCUGGACAGGAACUGACACUAAACUACGAAAGCGUGGGGAGCAAACAGG